rnacentral:rRNA from 1 species
UGACCGUGCGAAGGUAGCGUAAUCAUUUGUCUUUUAAAUAGAGACCUGUAUGAAUGGCAUAACGAGGGUUUAACUGUCUCCUUCCCCUAGUCAAUGAAAUUGAUCUGCCCGUGCAGAAGCGGACAUAAAUACAUAAGACGAGAAGACCCUAUGGAGCUUUAGACAAAAGAUCAAACAUGUAAAGAAACCAAGUUAACCAAAAGGAACACAAAGGCCACGAAACCCGACGUAAACUGAUCCAAAUGUCUUCGGUUGGGGCGACCAUGGGGGAGAAAAAAGCCCCCACGAGGAACAGGGACUAAUCCCUAAGCCAAGAGAGACAUCUCUAAGCAACAGAAAAUCUGACCAAAAGUGACCCAGAAUACUAAUUCUGAUCAACGAACCAAGUUACCCUAGGGAUAACAGCGCAAUCCUUUCCCAGAGUCCAUAUCGACGAAAGGGUUUACGACCUCGAUGUUGGAUCAGGACAUCCUAAUGGUGCAGCCGCUAU